UCUGGUUGAUCCUGCCAGUAGUUAUAUGCUUGUCUCAAGGAUUAAGCCAUGCAUGUCUAAGUACACACGAAUUAAAAGUGAAACCGCAAAGGGCUCAUUAUAUCAGUUAUGGUUCCUUAGAUCGUUAACAGUUACUUGGAUAACUGUGGUAAUUCUAGAGGUAAUACAUGCAAUUACAACAUGUACCUUAUGGGACAAGUGUUUUUAUUCGGCUAAAACCAAGCGAUCGCAAGAUCGUUAUAUUGGUUGAACGCUAGAUAACAGGCAGAUCGUAUGGUCUUGUACCGACGACAGAUCUUUCAAAUGUCUGCCCUAUCAACUUUUGAUGGUAGUAUCUAGGACUACCAAGGUUGCAACGGGUAACGGGGAAUCAGGGUUCGAUUCCGGAGAGGGAGCCUGAGAAACGGCUACCACACCUAAGUAAGGCAGCAGGCGCGUAAAUUACCCACUCCCAGCUCGGGGAGGUAGUGACGAAAAAUAACAAUACAGGACUCAUAUACGAUGACCUGUAAUUGGAAGGAGUACACUUUAAAUCCUUUAACAAGGACCAAUUGGAGGGCAGGUCUGGUGCUAGCAGCCGCGGUAAGCAGCUCCAUACUACUAGUGCUUCAUACGGGUAGUACAACUUACAAUUGUGGUUAGUACUAUACCUUUAUGUAAUAGGUUGGAAAAUAUCUCCCUUCCGCUUUUUUGCUCUUUAUUCAAUGCCUUAUAAAAAGUGUUACAGUGAUCGGAUUUAGUUGAAAUAUGCGCCGUUUUGUUCGAUAAUCUGUUUCCAUCUAGAUGGCAACUUCAUAAUACCUCCCUCGUAGAAGCCCCCCUCCUUAUUUGCGAAGAACUCGGACAGCCACUUUUCACAAGCCUCUUUUGAGUUCAACUUUACACCACCAAGGGCAUUCGCCAUGGACAGGAACAGGUGGUAAUCACUUGGCGCUAUGUCCGGGCUAUAUGGUGGAUGCGAUAAAACCUCCCAUCCGAGCUCCCUUAGCUUCUAACGAGU
rnacentral:rRNA from 1 species